GUGUCUGUAGCUCACUUGGAUAGAGCGUUAGACUCCGACUCUAAAGGCAGCAGGUUCGAAUCCUGUCAGGCACA
rnacentral:tRNA from 1 species